GAAUAGGCUGGAGAGAUCAAACCCUAGAUUCAAUAUCUCCACCUCCUUUGCCUUUGCUGGUGUUUUUUGGUUUGCUGAUUAUGUUAAUGUUUCUCGCAAGUUAUUCACAUUACAAGGCAGAAUUGGAGAAGAGCAAGAUGAAUCUGAAGCUGUUAUUUUUUCUUUUGCCUCUUUUGGUGAUUUUGAUGUUGAAUUUCAUGGUGGAUAACAGGUGGCGGUUCUACACCGGAAUUUCAUCCCCAGCCUAUGAAACUGUACGUGAUGAGGGUAGUGCGCCGUGGGGUCUGUUGCUGAUGCUGGUGUUUCUUCUGAUUAUGGUUCAGUACCAGUCUUCCUUUCAGUUAAGCUGGUUUCGUGCUUUUUAGUCCCAAUUAUAUGACCCUCGUGGGAGUCAUAUUCUAACUACUUCGACUAUUUCUGAGCACUUCAUAGUAUUUUAGAAAAGUUUGAAGAUUCCCCCAAUUUCUCGGAGAUUUGUAUGAUUUGGUCAAGGUGGUAUAAAUGUGUUGUCUUUUGUUUUUUUUUCUGUUUUUGUUUUUGUUUUUUGGGUGGUGGUGUAUAAGAACCCUAAUUUAGG
rnacentral:lncRNA from 1 species